GUGCAUUAUUAAUCCACACCCCAAGAAUGCCAGAUCUCUUCUGAUCUCAGAAGCUGAGCAGUGUUGGGCUCGGUUAGUACUUAGAUGGGAGUACUGCCUGGGAAUACUGGGUGCUGUAGGCU
rnacentral:rRNA from 1 species